rnacentral:rRNA from 1 species
AGAGUUUGAUCAUGGCUCAGAACGAACGCUGGCGGCAGGCUUAACACAUGCAAGUCGAACGCAUCCUUCGGGGUGAGUGGCAGACGGGUGAGUAACGCGUGGGAACGUGCCCUUCAGUUCGGAAUAACCCAGGGAAACUUGGGCUAAUACCGGAUACGUGCGAGAGCAGAAAGAUUUAUCGCUGAAGGAUCGGCCCGCGUCUGAUUAGCUAGUUGGUGAGGUAAUGGCUCACCAAGGCGACGAUCAGUAGCUGGUCUGAGAGGAUGAUCAGCCACAUUGGGACUGAGACACGGCCCAAACUCCUACGGGAGGCAGCAGUGGGGAAUAUUGGACAAUGGGCGCAAGCCUGAUCCAGCCAUGCCGCGUGAGUGAUGAAGGCCUUAGGGUUGUAAAGCUCUUUCGUCCGGGACGAUAAUGACGGUACCGGAAGAAGAAGCCCCGGCUAACUUCGUGCCAGCAGCCGCGGUAAUACGAAGGGGGCUAGCGUUGUUCGGAAUCACUGGGCGUAAAGGGCGCGUAGGCGGCCUGAUAAGUCGGGGGUGAAAGCCUGUGGCUCAACCACAGAAUUGCCUUCGAUACUGUCGGGCUUGAGACCGGAAGAGGUAAGUGGAACUGCGAGUGUAGAGGUGAAAUUCGUAGAUAUUCGCAAGAACACCAGUGGCGAAGGCGGCUUACUGGUCCGGUUCUGACGCUGAGGCGCGAAAGCGUGGGGAGCAAACAGGAUUAGAUACCCUAGUAGUCC